rnacentral:rRNA from 1 species
UACGUAGGGUGCUAGCGUUGUCCGGAUUUAUUGGGCGUAAAGAGCUCGUAGGCGGCCAGUUGCGUCCGCUGUGAAAUCCCGGGGCUUAACCCCGGGCGUGCAGUGGAUACGGGCUGGCUGGAGGCAGGCAGGGGAGAACGGAAUUCCUGGUGUAGCGGUGAAAUGCGCAGAUAUCAGGAGGAACACCGGUGGCGAAGGCGGUUCUCUGGGCCUGUACUGACGCUGAGGAGCGAAAGCGUGGGGAGCAAACAGG